rnacentral:rRNA from 1 species
AUUGAACGCUGGCGGCAGGCCUAACACAUGCAAGUCGAACGAGUGGCGGACGGGUGAGUAAUGUCUGGGAAACUGCCCGAUGGAGGGGGAUAACUACUGGAAACAGUAGCUAAUACCGCAUACCAUCGGAUGUGCCCAGAUGGGAUGAGCUAGUACGUGGGGUAACGGCUCACCUAGGCGACGAUCCCUAGCGGGUGUGAGAGGAUGACCAGCCACAGUGUAACUGAGAAACAGUCCAGACUCCUACGAGAAGCAGAAGUGGAGAAUAUUGCACCAUGGGCGCAAGCCUGAUGCAUCCAUGCCGCGUGUAUGAAGAAGGCCUUCGGGUUGUAAAGUACUUUCAGCGAGGAGGCGUUACUCGCAGGAGAAGCACCGGCUGACUCCGUGCCAGCAGCCGCGGUAAUUC